rnacentral:lncRNA from 1 species
UUCCACCCCACCUUGUUGACGAUGUUUGGCUAAACACUUUAGAAGACAUUAGAGAAACUGAAAACAUACCUGCUACAAGUUCAUUUACAGAUUACGUGACAGAAUUUUUGGUUGAAAACUACCGCUUUCUAUGGAACCACUAUUACACAGAAGGACCCCGCACCAUGCACAAAUCACCUGGAAGGAUGGCACAACAAACAUAAGAAGCGACUCAAACACGCCCACCCAAACAUCUACGAGAUCAUUGAGCUACUGAAGAAGACAAAAGCACUAACAGAAUGCAACAUUAUCCAGUAUGCAGCAGGAGGAACCCGCUCACCUUAAAGACGACCAUACAGAGUAAUAGACACCAGACUCGUAUACAAAUACCAACAAGGACCCAUCAACGUAGUAGAUUACUCUGACG